rnacentral:lncRNA from 1 species
GGAACACACAAGCUCAAGGUCAGUCAAACCAUGGCUUGCCAUUACUCAUGAACUAGUCCAACAGCUUUAAUUGUACCCAUUUUCAAUAGCAAAAAAAGGCUAAGCUUUUGACUUAGAGGGGGAAAACCCUGCAAUGAGCACAACUUGUGAAAGCAAGAGAAGUGGGAUUCUGUAUUAGCUUUGGCAGAGAGGGUGCUAAAAAAAUUGAAAAGAAAUUUGCACCAAAACAGGCAGCAGAUUGCAGCAAUCUACAGCAAUUCAAUUCAAUUAACUUCUCCUCAUACUGAUCAUAAGGCUUUAUCAAUGUUUCUCAAACUUGGGUCCCCAGGUGUUGCUGGACUACGAUUCCCAUCAUCUCUAGCUGCUAGGACCAGUGGUCAGGGAUGAUAGAGGAGUUAUAGUCUCAAAACAUCUGGAGGGCCGAGGUUGAGGAAGCCUGCCCUGGAAUGAGUUGUUUGCAGCUGCUUCCUCACCACAGCUUACCCAAGCUCAGGAGCUGCUUUUCCACAAUCAGCUGGUAACAGAAUUAAGGCAGUGGUUGCAUAUCACACUUAAUAUAAUACUAUAUUCCCCACAGAAAUUCAGGAGCGUCCGUCUUCAUUUUGCAAUUACUAUUUUAAAAGAUAAAAUUAAUGAGAAAUUACCCUGGCUGCAAGAAACUAAGACUAAAAUCCCUGCCACCAACAACUCUCACAGGGAGCAGGAACUGACAAAUUAAAGGCCAAUUCAUGAAUGCCACAAUCACAAACGUAAACAGGAAGCCACUAACUAAAGAGGAAUAAUCCCCUCUAAAAGUAAUGGGCAGAGGGAAGCUACUCAUUAAAGGGACUGUCAUAGAGACGUAGGGUCUUGUAAGUAAAUUUCCUUUACUCUGAGUAAAUGAAGUAGUGUGUUAUGAGGGAAGGCAUUUUUAAGGGGAACAUAAUGCUACAUUAAGUGAAAUAACCCUUUAAAUUAUCAGCGCAGAUGACCUGUGGAAAAACAAUACCUCAGCGGCAUCAGAGGGCCCUAAGUCUGUUAGCUACAUUAGUGUUCAUAACUCAUGAAAUCAUCGAUUUCUCUCAAAAUAGCAUCACACAAAUGAUUAAGGCAAAAUAAAAUCUGGAAACAACAGUACUCAGCAAUAAACCCUAAGUAAUAUACAUUAAUAGGAAAGCUGCCAAUAGGACAACUAGGACUUCCAAAUACUUCCAUUACUGCCAAAUUAGUAAUUUAUAGUUCUUGGCUAUGCCCAGUGUUUAUGUGAAUCAGCACAAUCGGGCACCAACAUUCCCAAGUCUGACACAAAAGACCAUACCAGGUAUGAAAGUCACCCUUGUAGACAGAGACACUUCACUGGCCAGGGAUUAACCUUGAUUCAAGGCAGGCCUGCACAAGUUGUUAUCUACCAAGUCAAAUGCAGCCCAUCAGUGACCAGCUGCAAUCUGCCAAGAUUUUGACAACCUCCCUGAUUCUGCAAUCUCAAGCAGACAGCAAAAUCCUAACAUUCACCAACCCUUUUGCUGAGCUGCUCUGCACAAAGGUGAACUGCAUUUUAUCACACAAGAUGUACAGACCGGCCUUGUAUAUUCAAUACAUGUAUGUAUAUAAUGCUAUGUUGUCCAUACAAAUAGCUGGAUUUGUCAUUUUUUGUUUCUGUCCAUUUUGGCUUCUCUUCUUUUUUUCCAGCCUUAAGUUCAAUUUACCCUAUUUCUGCAUCAAUUUGCUAUUUCCCCCUUAAUGUUGGCACAAAUAUAUGUUUGCAUUUUCAUUCACAUCUACCUUAAUAUAUGCAAUGUUGCCUAAUACAUAUUUUAGCAAGCAACUUUCCUUGACAUAAUGUAGUUUUGUACAUUUUCACUAAUAUAUGCAUUUUUUAAGCACACAGUCGCAGUACAAAAUUUGGAGAUGUGCAAAUCUCAAAGGAUUGCUGUGCUAUGGUUCACUUGUUGAUUUGGGCAGAGUGAAUUACACAGGUUUGCAUUAAAAUAUUAACUGAAUUAAUUUAUCCCCAAUCCCUAGUUCUAUGUUAACACUUUAUUCAUAUAUUUUACCACUCAUGACAAUAGCUUUAUUCAGGCAAUAAACCAUUUGAUGGUUUAUUGUUCCAGGAAUGAGCUGCAGCAAGCUUUACGUGUCAACACCCUCUUCUCCCCUCUCCUCCUCUGGUGUGGCCAAGAACCAGUUUUUUCUAGUUUAGAAUUAUAGCAGUUAAGCAUUGCGCCUGAACCUGGAUAAACUGUGGUUAGUUUUAACUACGGUUAAAUUGAAUAGAAGAUUUAACUUCCCAUUUCUGUCAACUAAAGUUGAACAUUGUGUUGCAGCCCUAAGCUCUGGUGAACCUUAGCUAUUAUGCAUUGAAACAAGCCAGCUUCAUAAACUAUGGUGAAACAGGCUUGAUCGGUUCCUCAUGGUGGCAUCAGAGGAAAAGCUGGGAGACAGCACAAGCCUGAGGUCUGUGCACAUAACAUUAAAUCAUUGUUUCUCAUUAUGUUCUAACUGGGCAUAGAGCUUCCACAUCUGAAUGCUAUGAGUCAACAAGUCCCUGGUUCAUUUCUCACCUCUGCCACAAAUUCAUACAGUAGAUAGAAUCAGGCCCUUGGUCCAGCUAGCUCAGCAUCAUUACUAGUAGCAGCUUUGCUCCUCCUACCUGGGGAAUGAACUUGGUAUCUUUUGAAUGCAAACAUGUGCUCAAUAUCUCUAAGCUAUGGCUCUCCUUCUCACAGGGCUGCACUGUAAACUUAGACAAGCCGGUCUCUCCCAACUUCAGUCCCCACUCUGCAACACAGAACAAUGCCUCCCUUCAAAUAUUGUUCUAAGGAUUGCUGACUUAAUGUAUGUGGAGUCCUUUGAAUAAUCAAAUUAAUAUUGAAUAUUUUUAUUAUGAAAGCUCAUUGAUUGUAACAGACAGAAGAGUCAAAUUUCAAAGGAGCAAGUUGAUGAAUCACAAGGAUUAUAACCACUUUUUCAAACUUAGCAAACAGAUUCUAGUACAGGAGAAGAGAAAGUACAGGAAGAGAGGAUGAAGCAUUUUACAGUCUUUCUCCUUCCCUUACAUGCACACAAGGAGCGCAACUAUCAGCACUAUUGGAAGAGAUGGUGUAAUAAUUAAUAGAGAAAAAACAAUGCAUUAUGAAGGUUUCCUAAACAAGGCAAAACAAACAACUCCCCAUUUAGGCAGGGGUUACGUUCCCAGGCACCACACAUUUAAGUGAAAUUGCAUAUAUUGCAAACACCGUUGAAAAAGCCUGCAGAAAGCCUGCAAAUGCUUGAAAACCCCUUUUAAAAACCAGCAGCACUUACCAGACUCCCUCCAAACUUCCUUGCUCAAACUCCAACUUUCAACAGGCCUCAAAGGCUCCUGGGAUUGCACUUGCAAUGACUUGUGGGAUUGCUAGGCGCUGUUUUCACACCAUUUUUGCUGUUUCCGUGCUCUUUUGGGGGCUGUUUUUGCCCCUUUAAGUGCCACUUCCAGGUUCACAGUGAUGUGUGUGUGUGUGUGUGUGUGUGUGUGUGUGUGUGCGCGCGCGCGCAGUGACGUGUGAUUUGAACACGCAUUAAUGUGUUGUUGCCUGUAUAUGUUGCUGUUGGGACAUCAGAGUAGUUUGGAUAAUCAAGAGUUCAUCAAGAAGAAGAAGAAGAAGAACAGAGAGCCACAAACAGCUGUCUGCUUUUCAAAGAUUGGAGGAUGGUGAAUGUUUAGGGCUGGGUGAUAUAUCAAUAUAUCACCCCAAACUGGUUUGACGUGCAUAUUGUGAUAUUGGUUUCAUAAUUUUUGACCUGGCACUAUAUUGUGAAUCAUGAUGUGUGGGGGUGCCAACCUGAAUUUUUAGUGCUGCCUUGAUAUAAUCUUUUUGAGUGCCCUUGGUGGCAUUGUUGGUCCUAACAUAAGGCUCUGCAGAUGGUGAGAGGCGUUUCUGUGUUGGCGAUGGGGGAUAAAUUCAAUUCACAUUUAAAGGCAAACUUCCUAAAUUUGCACUUUACAAAACAAGUACAUGAACCAAAGGGCGAUUGUCUUUCAAAAUCCUUCAGACUCUGCCAUGCAGUUCUCCAGUCAAAUCAUGUGUACAGAAAUGCAUGCGCGCACGCGCACACACACACACACACACACACACGAGAUAGAUAGAUAGAGAGAGAGAGAGAGAGAGUAUACACACUGCACUGCACUGUAGAAUGGUGUGUUUCAUUGUCAACCCUGCUAUGAAAUUAGAAUGGAACAGCCUGAGGGGCUGGUGCUUGAAAAACAGUUGGAGGCUGGAGCUGUUACAUUUGCAUUGUGUUGCCUUACUGCAAACUCACUCUGUAUUAAAAACAAAAACAAAAACCCUUGCCUUGUUUGACUCAAAAGAAGUGAUGAAAUGCGUUACAGAUGCAGUACUGGUAUGUGGCCCCUGAUCUCUGAAUCUGCUAUCAAAAAUGUGAAGAUGUUUAUCCGAGUUGCAAAGAAUUUUAGCGAAAGCCAGCAAAGGGUGAGGCAAGAUGAGCACGUGUCCAGCUGAGGAAAAACUCUGGGCCAUUAAGGUACAGAAGGGAACAGCACCAUUUGACUUGGCCCCGAUGCUUUGCACUGUUUCACAGCAAUCUGUGUAAAUCCAACGUCACCAUCCAGGAACAUUUUCUCCCUCCAAUUAGUAACCCCUGCACACAGAAUUAGGAAAUUGCAGGGAGGUCUAAUAACAGAAGAAAACACUGAAAAAAACUACACGAAGAGACUGAAACCUACAAAGUGCAGUUGGUUAGACACAAGAAUCACUGCUUCAAGAGCACACUAAAAGAAGCAAAUGCAUUUAUGGGUCUUAAUCUUUUUUGUGCUGUUAGAUGAAGUCUGACGUCACCUGCUGAAUUUAAGAGCUCAUUAGGAGGCCGACAUCAAUUACAGCAGAAGGAUGGACACGGGCCAUAUGCCAUACAGCCAUGCUGUAGCUAUUAAAUCUCGCUACAGGUCACAGGGCAGUCAAAUACCUACUUGCAGCAGAAGAGAAAAAGAAAUACAUUCCUAAAAACCAGUUUUUAAUUGAAACCCACAAACAGGAGCUCUUAUUUCUUCCACCAACAUUAAUGGAAAAAGAAUAUUGAAUUUUGGCCUUUUCUGCCAUAUUAAAUGUGGCAGCCGCACACACUCCCCUUGUAAUGUUCCCAGCUCCACAUUGGCAUUUUAAAACUUUAAUGGCAGCAAACGCUGCAGCUAAAUAGCCACUAGAAAAUUAACAUAGAGAGUUAUUCCAUGCCUGAGAAAAGAAAUGAAACAAAAACCGAGUGAUGGGUGUUCCAAGCCUGCUUUAUAUAAGCGACCCAGUCACGAAUCGGGUUGGUGAGCAGUGAGGAAAAUCAAAUAAGAUUUAAUCUCCACACAGAAUAGCUGCUUUAAAGAAGUCCACACAUUUUCCUACAACGGGAAUGGGAUGCACUAGUAGCAUAGCCAAUCCAAACCUUUUUGCUGCCUGUGACAUAGUCAGUUGACGUUUAAUGACAAACGCACCCAAUCUGUACUUUUGGAAACAGUAUGCAGACCGAAAUGCAGCCAUCCUUCAAACUGUUCACUUCUCUGCGUUCUCCAGUCAAGUAAUGUUUAGAAAAAUCACACAUUCCGCAGCUUCCUGCUGAAAUUGUGUAACUUUUCAUAUGGCAAAUGUGCUGGGGUUGUUGGUGCUUUUUUGUCCUGCUUUUGUAAUGCAGGAACACUGGGGAAUCAUCUCAGAACAACUAAUAAAGCAGAAUGAUGUGUGGUCCAUUAUAAAUCCAAUACUAACACACUGUUAGGGGUCAGGAACAUGUUGCAGAAUACACCAUGUUUUUUUAAAAAACACACAGUCUGGAGGGUCUCAGAAUCUGUUCACAUGCCCUAAUUCUUUCCCUUCGAACUUCCCUGUCUCCGCCUUCCUCUUCUCUUUUCUCUCCAUCAUUCUCUUUCUCUAUCGUACUCCUGACCCACGCCCUUCUGAAACAUGAAGCUAAAAAUACCUGGUUAAAUAUAUACGUGAACAACAUUGAAAAAGAAGGAAGGUAGGGAGAGCUGAAAAUAGUCCACAACAAAGCAGCAGGGAAGGAAUCUGCUGGAAAUAGACACUGCAAAAACUCAAAAGGACAUAUUUGAAGAGGGUGUGUUGGCAGCUAUGAGAUGGCGAGCCUGACAAUCAAAUAAUUGCCAAAAUUACUGUUAUACAAUAAUUGAUCCUUGGAAGAUUAGAUUUUUCAAGGGCCAGCUGUGGAGAACUGGAAAGAUAUAUGAAUUUCUCAGAAAUGCCAAUUUAUAACUGAGGCUUCGGUGUUGGCCUUUGGUAGACUUUUAAACAAGAUCAAUUGUUCCUGAAAUAACAGGAAACGUUCUGUCUAGGGGUUUCCCCCACCAAUCCCAUUAUUACGUCCAUUGUUUCUCCCCUAUCACCAACAUCCACACACCUGCCAAAGGUAUCCUUGGGGAGGCAGCACUUUCCAAAACAAUAUGCAAACCAAAACACACUCAUCCUUUGAAAUUCGUCCUCCUCUGAAUUCUGCAAUGCAGUUCGCCAGCCAAGCAAAUAACUACAGAAAUGCAUAUACUGGGGGUAAAGUCCGCAAAGAAAUCCACAUAUUUGUGAAAACUGUAUACUGUUUUCUGAACACCACCAGUUUCAGUCUGAACACCACCAAAAUGCUGAACACCCUCCAUGGUCCACCCUGUUCUGUGUCCAUUGUGGGCAUUUGAAAAGGACUGUCAAGCUAUCACUUGACACUUCCCAGUCUUUGAAAAGAAGAAAGAUGUUUGUGGCUCUCUGCUCUUCUUCUUCACUAAUAUCAUUCUCUUUUUAUUCUGAUGUCCCAAAAACACCACAUAGAGAAACUUGUGCUGUAUAUGGCUUGGUUAAGGAAACCUUCAUAAUGUAAUGAUUUUUCUGUG